UACGUAGGGGGCAAGCGUUGUCCGGAAUCAUUGGGCGUAAAGGGCGUGUAGGCGGUUCAGUAAGUCUGCUGUGAAAGUCCAGGGCUCAACCCUGGGAUGCCGGUGGAUACUGCUGGGCUAGAGUACGGAAGAGGCGAGUGGAAUUCCCGGUGUAGCGGUGAAAUGCGCAGAUAUCGGGAGGAACACCUAUUGCGAAGGCAGCUCGCUGGGACGUUACUGACGCUGAGACGCGAAAGCGUGGGGAGCAAACAGG
rnacentral:rRNA from 1 species